AUUGAACGCUGGCGGCAGGCCUAACACAUGCAAGUCGAGCGGUAGCACAGAGAGCUUGCUCUCGGGUGACGAGCGGCGGACGGGUGAGUAAUGUCUGGGAAACUGCCUGAUGGAGGGGGAUAACUACUGGAAACGGUAGCUAAUACCGCAUAACGUCGCAAGACCAAAGUGGGGGACCUUCGGGCCUCAUGCCAUCAGAUGUGCCCAGAUGGGAUUAGCUAGUAGGUGGGGUAACGGCUCACCUAGGCGACGAUCCCUAGCUGGUCUGAGAGGAUGACCAGCCACACUGGAACUGAGACACGGUCCAGACUCCUACGGGAGGCAGCAGUGGGGAAUAUUGCACAAUGGGCGCAAGCCUGAUGCAGCCAUGCCGCGUGUGUGAAGAAGGCCUUCGGGUUGUAAAGCACUUUCAGCGGGGAGGAAGGCGGUGAGGUUAAUAACCUCAUCGAUUGACGUUACCCGCAGAAGAAGCACCGGCUAACUCCGUGCCAGCAGCCGCGGUAAUACGGAGGGUGCAAGCGUUAAUCGGAAUUACUGGGCGUAAAGCGCACGCAGGCGGUCUGUCAAGUCGGAUGUGAAAUCCCCGGGCUCAACCUGGGAACUGCAUUCGAAACUGGCAGGCUAGAGUCUUGUAGAGGGGGGUAGAAUUCCAGGUGUAGCGGUGAAAUGCGUAGAGAUCUGGAGGAAUACCGGUGGCGAAGGCGGCCCCCUGGACAAAGACUGACGCUCAGGUGCGAAAGCGUGGGGAGCAAACAGGAUUAGAUACCCUGGUAGUCCACGCCGUAAACGAUGUCGAUUUGGAGGUUGUGCCCUUGAGGCGUGGCUCCCGGAGCUAACGCGUUAAAUCGACCGCCUGGGGAGUACGGCCGCAAGGUUAAAACUCAAAUGAAUUGACGGGGGCCCGCACAAGCGGUGGAGCAUGUGGUUUAAUUCGAUGCAACGCGAAGAACCUUACCUGGUCUUGACAUCCACAGAACUUUCCAGAGAUGGAUUGGUGCCUUCGGGAACUGUGAGACAGGUGCUGCAUGGCUGUCGUCAGCUCGUGUUGUGAAAUGUUGGGUUAAGUCCCGCAACGAGCGCAACCCUUAUCCUUUGUUGCCAGCGGUCCGGCCGGGAACUCAAAGGAGACUGCCAGUGAUAAACUGGAGGAAGGUGGGGAUGACGUCAAGUCAUCAUGGCCCUUACGACCAGGGCUACACACGUGCUACAAUGGCAUAUACAAAGAGAAGCGACCUCGCGAGAGCAAGCGGACCUCAUAAAGUAUGUCGUAGUCCGGAUUGGAGUCUGCAACUCGACUCCAUGAAGUCGGAAUCGCUAGUAAUCGUAGAUCAGAAUGCUACGGUGAAUACGUUCCCGGGCCUUGUACACACCGCCCGUCACACCAUGGGAGUGGGUUGCAAAAGAAGUAGGUAGCUUAACCUUCGGGAGGGCGCUUACCACUUUGUGAUUCAUGACUGGGGUGA
rnacentral:rRNA from 1 species